CGGCCGAUAUCUGAUUAGCUAGUUGGUGGGGUAAAGGCCUACCAAGGCGACGAUCAGUAGCGGGUCUGAGAGGAUGAUCCGCCACACUGGGACUGAGACACGGCCCAGACUCCUACGGGAGGCAGCAGUGGGGAAUUUUGGACAAUGGGCGCAAGCCUGAUCC
rnacentral:rRNA from 1 species